AUGGGAUCUUCUGGACUUUUGAGCCUCCUGGUGCUAUUCGUCCUCUUAGCGAAUGUCCAGGGACCUGGUCUGACUGAUUGGUUAUUUCCCAGGAGAUGUCCCAAAAUCAGAGAAGAAUGUGAAUUUCAAGAAAGGGAUGUGUGUACAAAGGACAGACAAUGCCAGGACAACAAGAAGUGUUGUGUCUUCAGCUGCGGAAAAAAAUGUUUAGAUCUCAAACAAGGUAAUAUUCAGAGCUGCAGAAUAACCAACCCCUCCUCCCUCUGUCCUCACCUUCUGCCUUCCUGGACUGGCUUUGUGCCCUGAUCGCUGAGGGCUGGUCUCUGGCAAAACUGCUGGACUUGGGAGACCUGCGAUUUAGAUUCAUUACUGUGCCAAAUAUGGUGUGUGCCAUGAGGAAUGACCUUAUCCUAUCAGGUAAUGUCUGAGACUCAGUUUCCCAGAACAAAUCAUUGGUGAAUCAGUGGCAUUGAAUCAGAUUCUUUUGGCUAUUUGGAUACCUGUCACUCUUAUAAUUUUUUGAGCUCCCAGGUGGCCAUUGUUGCCCUAACAUAUGCUGCAAGUGAUAAAUUAAGCAAUUUAUAUUUCCUAACUUUUUUGCUAUGGAGUGACCACCUCUCUGCCUACACAAAUCCAACUUUGCACCAAAACACCUCUCCUGACUGCUCCAGAACAGAGGGUUUUUCCUGUCUGCUGCAUCUUAGUUUCAUGCCCAUCUCCCUGGGAUGCAAAAAGACUAUCAAAGAUUCUGUUUUUAUUCAUUCAACAAAUACUGAUUGAGUGCCUCUGAGACCCACAAUAGGAUUUGGUCUGCUCAGUAUGGUCAGGGGGGUUGGGAUUGCCUUCUCUGAGAAAGCAAAUCUAGAGUUGAGUUGAGAAAGAUGGGUAAUGUUUUAGGCAAAAAGUGGGUGGAGGGGUUUUCCAGGCACAGGCAGUAGCAUGCACAAAGGCUCAGUGGUGGGGCCUUGGGAGUCCAGAACGCAGAGUGAGCAUGAGCAUGGUACAAGGAAAACAGAUUCUGGGUGGGCAGAGAUCAAACAAUUCAGGUAUGGUGGGCCAGAUUAAAGAGUCUUGCCUGGAUCCCAAGGGCCAUGGCAAUCCACCGAGGCAGGGCAUCACAUGACCAGGUUCAUACUACAUCUAUCGAGUUUAAAAUAGGAGGAACAGAGUAUCUUAAAGGACUUCAAGAUGAUAGAAAUGGUGGCCGGAACUAGAGGUAGCUGAGGGGAUGAAGAAGAGUAGGACGUGCUUGAAAGAAAGAGUAGGACAUAGGAGGCAAAGUUAACAGGACUUGACAGAGAAGUAGAGUGGGCAGGUUAGGGGGCUAAGUCACUCAUAUGCCAGCAGGUAAGGAUUCUGAAUUCAGCCAUCCUGAGUUCAACUCUUACCUCCAGUUUUUACGAGCCUUUUUGUCUUGGAUAAAUUAACAACUUUCCCUCACUGUGAGUCAGUUUCCUCAGAAAAUAAAAGGAUCAGUGUAAAAGAUUAUUUUGAGGAUCCAAUUGAUCUGCAUGAUGUGCUUAGAAUAAUGCCUGGCACACAGUAGCCACCUGAUACCUAUUCGCUUAUUUGUAAUUCUUGGCUAAGGGCUCCUAAAUAGCAAAGAUCAUGCCUUUUCUCUGUUCCUUGAAGCAUUGAGCACAUAAUAGGUGCUCAAUGAAUAAUUUAUUCAGUUCAGAUCAGGAUACAUUUCAUUUAUCCUCAACGUUCCAUAAGGUUCUAUACUGUGCCAGGCUACCUGUUAGGAACUGGGAUGCCAAGAUGAAAGCAGAUACACUAGAAACUCACUCCCUGCUCACUAGAAACUCACAGCCUCAGGGAUGAGACUGAAGAUAUAAACAAAUGAAAAAUGAAUGCACAAGACUCUGAGGCAAGGUGUGGCAGUGAGGAAUGUAGAAUGGAGUCAAGAGAGACAUCACAGCAGUUGAUGUCUGAGAAAGGUUUUGAAGGAAGAAGAGUGUCACUGUGAGCAGUGCAAAGGGAUGGAGGUAUAGAGGUAGCACGGUGUGUUGAAUAUUGCUGGAGCAUGUGGCUCAAAGGGGUUCUGUGGCAGGAGAGGAGGCCAGCGUCACAGUAGGAGCCAGACAAUGAAGGGCCUUGUGGGUCAUGGGAGGACAUUGUCAUAGAGUGAAGGUAGGUCUUAUCUGUGCAAUGACAUGAUAAGCCUGGCUCUCAGAUCCAUCAGAUCCUUCUCUCUGGUGGGAAGCAUGAAGGAUUGAUUGGAGGGGCCAGGAAUGGAGGAAGGGGGAUCAAUCUGAGGUUACCUCAACAGUCCAGGCAUGAGACACUGAGGCUUAUAUUAAAGAGACUGGCAGAGAGGUGAGCUAUUAGGAGGUAAAAAUCAACAGGACCUAAUUGUUUAGCAGUGGAGACUUACCCAAAUGGAACUGUGUAAGCAUUAUUUAGUUGGGACCUGCAUUUGUUUGGUAGAGUUGCUAUAACAAAGUACCACUGACUGGGAGUCUUAAACAACAGAAAUGUAUUGUCUCACAGUUCCUCAGGCUAGAAAUCCGAGAUCAAGGUAUCAGCACGGUUGGUUCCUUGUCAGGGUUAUGGGGAAGAAGCAUGUUCCAUUCCUCUCCCCUGGCUUCUGGGGCUUUGCUGGCAAUCUUUGGUGUUCUUUGGCUUGUAGACACAUCACCCCAAUCUCUGCCUUCACAUUCAUAUGGUGUUCUCACAGUGUGUGUGCCUCUGUCCAAAUUAACCUGUUUGUAUAAGGACACCAGUCAUAUUGGUAUAGGGGCCAACCCUAUUUUGGUGUGACCUCAUUUUAGCUAAUUACACCUGCAACAACCCUAUCUCCAGGGAUGCAGAUGCCCACUCUGGGGUCUCCUUGCAAAUGUGUGCAAUAUGUCAGUGGAGCUGUGCUCCUGCCAUGUGAUAAGGGUAAAGGAGCCUAUUCCAGUUUCAUCUAUAGUAGUUGCCAGGGAGAAUAAUAACAACUGUUUAUUUCUGGAGUGGGCACACUGAGUUUUCAACUCUGGAGUCUCUCUGCAGAUGUAUGCAAAAUGCCAAAAGAAACUGGCCCCUGUCUGGCUUAUUUUCUUCGUUGGUGGUAUGACAAGAAAAAUAAUACUUGCUCCAUGUUUGUCUAUGGUGGCUGCCAGGGAAACAAUAACAACUUCCAAUCCAAAGCCAACUGCCUGAACACCUGCAAGAAUAAACGUAAGUCCUAGGGGCCCCGGUCUUUCAUCCUCUCCAGUCCCAUGCUGGGAGGUCUGGGUGUUGGCUGGUCCAUUCCAGGACAGCUACAUCUUUGGCAGACCUGGUGCUGACAGAACCAGCUCUGAUCAGGAGGUAAGAAUGCACCUGGCAAAAGGCUAGACAAAGUUACUUUCUGAGUAUGAGGAACUGAGGAUGAGAAGGGAUGUAGAAGUAAUCAAUGCUGGCAAGUAUGAGGGGAAUUAGGAGUGGUGGAGGAAGGGUGUAGAAGUGGUGAAAUCUCAGAGAUGAAUUGCAGAAGAGGCACAGGACGCUAAACUUAAGACACGUUGACCAACCAACCCUUCUAAGCCAUCAUUGUCUCAACACAACUCUUUGGCAGCGAUUCACUCCUAUUUGUUUUUCCUUGAAGGAGAUGGAGAGCUCCUCAAAGCAAACCCACUACUUUUUAGUGUCUUUCUGUGCAAAGAUGUAUAAACAUAACUUCAAGCUCCAAAGAUGAGCUGAACCCAAGAUGCUCAGCUGUUUCUGUCCUACGUUCUCUACAGGCUUUCCCUGAUUGGAUAAGGAUGCGCUGGAAGAACUGCCAGAAUGUGGCUCAUGCUCUGAGUACUGUUCCUGUACCUGACUGAUGCUCCAGACUGGCUUCCAGUUUCACUCUCAGCAUUCCAAGAUCUUAGCCCUUCCCAGAACAGAAUGCUUGCAUCUACCUCCUCUUCCUCCAUCUUUGGCUCUUUUGAUGCACAAUAUCCAUCCGUUUUGAUUUCAUCUUUAUGUCCCCUUUAUCUCCAACUUCUAGAACUCCCAGUUUAUACCUGUGUCACUCUCAAUUUUUUCCAGUAAAGUACUUGAUGUAGU
rnacentral:sRNA from 1 species